GAUGAACGCUGGCGGCGUGCCUAAUACAUGCCAGUCGAGCGAACAGACGAGGAGCUUGCUCCUCUGACGUUAGCGGCGGACGGGUGAGUAACACGUGGAUAACCUACCUAUAAGACUGGGAUAACUUCGGGAAACCGGAGCUAAUACCGGAUAAUAUAUUGAACCGCAUGGUUCAAUAGUGAAAGACGGUUUUGCUGUCACUUAUAGAUGGAUCCGCGCCGCAUUAGCUAGUUGGUAAGGUAACGGCUUACCAAGGCAACGAUGCGUAGCCGACCUGAGAGGGUUAUCGGCCACACUGGAACUGAGACACGGUCCAGACUCCUACGGGAGGCAGCAGUAGGGAAUCUUCCGCAAUGGGCGAAAGCCUGACGGAGCAACGCCGCGUGAGUGAUGAAGGUCUUCGGAUCGUAAAACUCUGUUAUUAGGGAAGAACAAAUGUGUAAGUAACUAUGCACGUCUUGACGGUACCUAAUCAGAAAGCCACGGCUAACUACGUG
rnacentral:rRNA from 1 species